CAGAACGCCUACUUCAGGAAACAAUCUCAACCAAGCAGCAGUAGCAAGCUUUGCUGAUCUUUCAAGAGAUGGGAGGUGAAUCAAUUGCUGAAGGGUGGGAUGCAGGCCCUGUCCGGCAUUCGCUGCUUGAGUGGGCCUCAGGGCGAAGUGA